AAGAGAAACUCCGUUCUUGGCCAGUUGUGCUCCGUACUGUGCAGACACACAGGCAGCGCCUGGAAGUCACCGAGAAAUGCAAUGCCUUUGAGAAGUUCCGUGGAAAGAAUGACAUCAUGACCAGUCACUCCCCCACCCCACCUUUUUUCCAGUGGGAGUGAGAAAUAAAUAGACUGACACAUUUUCCAGUCAGGGAGCCAUUCUGGACAGCAAGUUUACCUUGGCACAGGAGCUCAGGUGGGGCUGUGAGAAACCUUAUCUGUGCUUGCCUGGUAAACAAGGAGCCUGCAAUCUCCCCGGAGUCUUGGCCACUGAGCAGGUGACUGCGGGAGGCAGGUGAGCAGAGCAGGUGAGCAAGGACACGCAGUUGGAGAAAGUUCUUGAUACCAGGAGGAGUUGCUUUGAUGUGUCAGCUUGGAAAGAAUGCCUCGUAAGGGCCAUUCAGGACUCCAGGAGAGCAACAAAAACAAAAAAGCCCCAGCUCGUGGAAACAUCAAAGUGAAGGCAAAUAUAACCAGACUGACCCACCUGGAGGUAUUUAAAUACCUUGAAGAAUGGUGGUGUGUCCUUGCAAAACCCAGGCAGCUUUCAGGUAGAAACUUGAGUCAUGUCUGGAUCAUAAGGAGUGAGGUGGCCCCACUGGCUGUCCCUGGCCACUCAUUAUAAUCAGGAAAAAGUGAGGACAAUGUGAGACUCUCCCUUGGAGAGUCUGAAAACUUGGAAGACCUGAAUUUUGGUGACCACUCAACAAGUCAGUCUGCUCCAGGGACCCAUUAACAUUGCAACCUCAUUCCUAGUGGUGCCAAGAUGCAGCCAUGAUUUGUACUGCAGUGUGGGGAGGCCAGAUUUGGGCCCUCCUGGAAGUCCACAGCAAUUCCGUCCCUGGAAAGUUGUUGCACAGAGGAAAAUACAGCGCCACGUCCCAAGACAAACUGAAGGCCUCCAAAGAAGACAUAAGUAAUUUUGUUCUUUAUAUUUUACAUCUUUACAGAAAGUAUCCGAGUUUACAAAAACCACAUAAAAUAGAACAAAGUUUAAAAAAUAGAAUAUAGAGGGAAAGGAAAAAUAAUAGAUAACAGAGGACAAAGCCCAGUGUGGCUGCUACCUUAUUGCUGUAAGGUCCUGUACACUUUCAAAUCAAACUCUGACUUCCCAACCCACAAAGCAAAAGUUAAAGAAAUGCACGUACAGCACUGCACCCAUGAUAAGAAAAACCAGGCAGCUGCUGCAGAGAAGCACAUCUAUUCCUGAUGCUGAGGCUCCCCAUGGGGCCUCAUGAGAAAGAAUUGGAAGACACAGUGGAAGGCCACCAAGAGCAUCCCCAACAACAGCCCUACCAUACACCAUAGGGAGUUUUCUGGGAUGGAGUUUCCUGGGAUGGUUCCUAUGACAUCCCAGUGCAGGCUACUGGCCAUGCCAAUGCCUGGUCCAGUGAGAACAAUUAUGGGAGACUCCAGAAUGACCUCUGCUGAGCUGGCUUACACCUAGGACAAAAAUCAGAGCAAAGAAACUGCUUUGGGAAUCCGAGGGGCCCUGCCUCUCUGGGAAUCUGAAUUCGGGCUUCUCCCCAGGUCUUGUGCCAGCUUUGCUCUUUGCUUUGGGAGGGGAGUCCCUAGGGUUUCCAGCAAAGCUGCCGUCAUUGAAGACAGAGGCACAGCACAUAGCCCAUGCACAGGCCAGGCCCAUGGUCUUCCCACUGAGACCUCUAGCCACAGAAUAGUCUCCAGUCGAGCAGAGGCUGAGGAGAAAGAGGGACUAAGUGCUGGUCCUGGGUUCACCAGUCACUGACAGUGGGAACCUCAGAAAGCCAACUCCUCUCUGUGGGCCUUAGUUCUGUCGCCUGCGAAGUGGAGCAGACGAGCUAGCAUCGGAUCUGUCCUUUUCCUGAGGAUUCUCAUGGCUGCAGAGCUCUUCAGUGCAUGGCAAGCUGAAGAGAGGCAAUGAAGCAGGGCUGGAAGCGUUGGGGUCUGUGGAAGACAUGAAAUGUACCACCCAGAUCCGCCUUCUACGGAGGGCCUUCUGCCCAGCUGCGGGUAUGGAACCAGCAGCCUGCCUCCAGCUGUUUGUUCCUUCAAAGUCUGCCACAGCUGCAGAAAGCUGCCUCCCCCAAGAUCAUGCCCUCCCAAGAUAGCCCAUGCUGUGGAUUGGGUGCAGCAGGGGAAUAAAGGCCCAGGCACUUUGUCCCUGUGCAGAUCACUCUGAACAGCACAGGUGUUGCUCCCAAAACCUGUCUUGGCAUCUGCUUCUGAAGAACCUAAUCUGCAGCAGAGGCCAAGCACCCAAGCACAAAGACUUGCCUGGCCUAUGACCUUUGGAACAAACACCUGAGCCACCGUGGACCCAAGAGCUAGAGAAACAACCAGCGUGGAUGGUCUGACAGCACCGCUGGCCACAGCUGCUACUCAGUGGCCGUUCAUCACAUGGAAAAGGGACAUGACCCUCUUCUCCCCAAACAGCCCCCUCUUGACUCUGUUCUUCCAGCGGAUGAUGCCAGUUUUCCAGCCACCCAAGCUCAAGAUCUCCAAGCCUCUCCCAAGUUCCUUUCCCUUCUGCUCCUAUAUCCGAACAGUUACUAAGUUUUGAAGCUCCAUCUUUGCAUACACCACCUCCCUCAUGGGCUACUGCAGCAACCCCAUGAGGACCCCUCCCUCCUUACUAUAAGAUGCUCACCCCUGGUGCAGGUCCUGUCACUGUGAUUCCUGCUCGCGCUCCCCACCAUAUGGGUCACUGCUCUGUGGAAGGAAGGAAUGACAUAUUGGAGUCACACCUGUUUCCCCGAAGUCAUUGGGAAGUGUUCGUUGCUGCUUGUUAGAAAUACCCAAACACAAACAAAAGGUGGUAAAACAAUGUGAAUUCGAUGAGAAGUUUCUGCUUCUGUUUGGAUUGAGGUCAGUGUUAUUUCCCUAGCGUAGACCCAGAAAACAGAGCACUUGUUCAACUGAGGAGAUGCCCCUGGCAUGUAAGUGAAUGUGCUUGUGUGGACAUGUGGAGGUCUCAAGAACAAAAGAAGAGCUGGGCAACUUGCUGGCACUUGAUACCCAGGUGUUUCUUAAUGUUCCUGUUGAAGAAAUAGCUGUAAAAUGCUGAAGGAAAUGCCCGCUUCCCUGUGUACAGAAGGCAGGCUGCGAAGGUGGGGCACCAUACAUUCUAGUCCAAAGAGGACUAGUAUGACCUCCCCAUUAGGCCACACGAAUCCCACAGCUGUGUGCGUGUAGCCAAGAUGUCAGCAAGGUGAGACCCCACACAAAUACUCCAAAAUGUGCUGGAAAGAGGGAGGGAUGGAAUAUCAACCAUUCUAUUUGGCAUCAUUCUCUGCUAAGAGAACAGGCUUGGCCUCUCUUUUUCAGAAACCAAGAAAGGGCUUUGCUGCCUUUGCUAUGUUUUCCU
rnacentral:lncRNA from 10 species